rnacentral:rRNA from 1 species
AGAGUUUGAUCCUGGCUCAGGAUGAACGCUAGCGGGAGGCCUAACACAUGCAAGCCGAGCGGUAUUGUUUCUUCGGAAAUGAGAGAGCGGCGUACGGGUGCGGAACACGUGUGCAACCUGCCUUUAUCUGGGGGAUAGCCUUUCGAAAGGAAGAUUAAUACUCCAUAAUAUAUUGAACGGCAUCGUUUAAUAUUGAAAGCUCCGGCGGAUAGAGAUGGGCACGCGCAAGAUUAGCUAGUUGGUGAGGUAACGGCUCACCAAGGCAAUGAUCUUUAGGGGCCUGAGAGGGUGAUCCCCCACACUGGUACUGAGACACGGACCAGACUCCUACGGGAGGCAGCAGUGAGGAAUAUUGGUCAAUGGGUGCAAGCCUGAACCAGCCAUCCCGCGUGAAGGACGACUGCCCUAUGGGUUGUAAACUUCUUUUGUAUAGGGAUAAACCUACCCUCGUGAGGGUAGCUGAAGGUACUAUACGAAUAAGCACCGGCUAACUCCGUG